rfam:Anas platyrhynchos breed Pekin duck contig42730, whole genome shotgun sequence.
GUCAGGAUGGCCGAGUGGUCUAAGGCGCCAGACUCAAGGCUCCCGCCUUCCCGCCGCGGCUGGGUAUUCUGGUCUCCGUAUGGAGGCGUGGGUUCGAAUCCCACUUCUGACA